GAGAGCACAAGCUUUCAACACCAUCAUAUUAAACCCAGAUUCAAGUACUCUUCAAAAAUACACAGAAUCGUAUCAGAAAGAGAAAGAAAGGGAAACGUAUGGAGGCUGUAAAUAAAUGAUGAUUGCCAAA